GACGAACGCUGGCGGCAGGCUUAACACAUGCAAGUCGAGCUAGCGGCGGACGGGUGAGUAAUGUCUGGGAAACUGCCUGAUGGAGGGGGAUAACUACUGGAAACGGUAGCUACUACCGCAUACCAUCAGAUGUGCCACGAUGGGAUUAGCUAGUAGGUGGGGUAAUGGCUCACCUAGGCGACGAUCCCUGGCUGGUCUGAGAGGAUGACCAGCCACACUGGAACUGAGACACGGUCCAGACUCCUACGUGAGGCAGCAGUGGGGAAUAUUGCACAAUGGGCGCAAGCCUGAUGCAGCCAGGCCGCGUGUGUGAAGAAGGCCUUCGGGUUGUAAAGCACGUUCAGCGAGGAGGCGUUACUCGCAGAAGAAGCACCGGCUAACUCCGAGCCAGCAGCCGCGGUAAUAC
rnacentral:rRNA from 1 species